rnacentral:lncRNA from 1 species
AGUGUUUGAAGUUUCCAAGAAAAGAAAUCUACAGGUAUACAAACCCCAAAUACUUUGGAACACACACAUAAUUCCCAGCAUUCCUAGCUUCUAUAUAAUUUCCCUUAUUUCAAAAUUAAAGUAAAUGUCUCAAUGUCUCCAAAAGAAAAAAAAUCAAAUAAAGCUUUAUAAAAUAUUUUAAGACUAAAUGCUUUAAAGCAUUAAAUGCUUUAAGGGUAAAAGUCACAGAUUUUUUUAAAUUCAAGUUACUUCAAGGACUUACAUAGCAUUCCAAAUGUACUAGUAUCUCUCUCCGUAACUCCCACUGAGAACCCAGUUUCUAUCCAGAAAGAGCUCAGAAUUUAGAGUCCAUGAUACUCCCUGAUGCAAACAUCUUUUAUUAGAAAUUUAUAAAUUUUACUAAGGACUGAACUGUCUUUAGUAAAAGAAUGAAAGCGUUUUGUUUUAUUCAGUGUUGAUAAUUAUUGAACAGUCUCAG